rnacentral:misc_RNA from 1 species
GUGAAUCAUCAAAUCUUUGAACGCAAAUUGCACUCUCUGGUAUUCCGGAGCGUAUUCCUGUUUGAGGGUCAGUUUAUAUACAAAUCGGUGUGUUUGCUGCCUUUCGUGGUGACGCACCGGAUUUGGUUCGUCUUUCCUUCGGUUAAGCGACCUAAAAUUUUCCAUGCUUUUUUUCGAACGUAUUUAAAUUAUUUUUUGUUCGUUUCCUUUAUCGUAUACUACUUUUUGUCAUCUUCCU